AACGUAGGAGGCGAGCGUUAUCCGGAUUUACUGGGUGUAAAGCGCGUGCAGGCGGUCCUUCAAGUUCCGUGUGAAAGCGCCUGGCUCAACCGGGCGAGGACGCGGAAAACUGAGGGACUGGAGGCAGGGAGAGGUCUAUGGAAUUCCGGGUGUAGUGGUGAAAUGCGUAGAGAUCCGGAGGAACACCAGUGGCGAAGGCGGUAGACUGGCCCUGACCUGACGCUCAGACGCGAAAGCACGGGGAGCGAACGGG
rnacentral:rRNA from 1 species